rnacentral:rRNA from 1 species
AGUGAACGCUGGCGGUAGGCCUAACACAUGCAAGUCGAACGGCAGCACAGUAAGAGCUUGCUCUUACGGGUGGCGAGUGGCGGACGGGUGAGGAAUACAUCGGAAUCUACUUUUUCGUGGGGGAUAACGUAGGGAAACUUACGCUAAUACCUCAUACGACCUACGGGUGAAAUCAUGGGAUCUUCUGACCUUGCGCGAUUGAAUGAGCCGAUGUCGGAUUAGCUAGUUGGCGGGGUAAAGUCCCACCAAGGCGACGAUCCGUAGCUGGUCUGAGAGGAUGAUCAGCCACACUGGAACUGAGACACGGUCCAGACUCCGACGGGAGGCAGCAGUGGGGAAUAUUGGACAAUGGGCGAAAGCAUGAUACAGACAUACCGAGUGGGUGAAGAAGGACUUCGGGUUGUAAAGCCCUUUUGUUGGGAAAGAAAAGAAGCAGGUUAAUACCCCGCUGUUAUGACGGUACCCAAAGAAUAAGCACCGGCUAACUUCGUG